AAUCAACGCUGGCGGCGUGCCUAACACAUGCAAGUCGAGCGCGAAAGCGGGGCAACUCGCAAGUAGAGCGGCGAACGGGUGAGUAACGCGUGGGUGAUCUACCUCCGAGUGGGGAACAACAUCGGGAAACUGGUGCUAAUACCGCAUGACAUCCUCGGGUCAUACUGAGGAUCAAAGCCGGGGACCGCAAGGCCUGGCGCUUGGAGAGGAGCCCGCGUCCGAUUAGCUA
rnacentral:rRNA from 1 species